GCUGGCUGUCAGUGUUAUAGCGCAGCUUCCUGACAAGCUGGAAGUGACAAACAAAGGCUGGGGAAAUACUUGUCUUUAUAGCUGUUGUAAGGAGGAAGGAGGAAGAGAGAGAGAGAUGGUGGAGAUGAAGAGUUCAGGAGAAAGGCACCAGACAAACAAAUUAAAAAGACCUUCACACUCCCCCUUGGGCAUUACAGAGCUGCCUUCCUGCACGUAAGAAGCAUGUGUAUCUGUGUUUGUGUGUGUAUAUCCACCACUUGAAACAUCUUUCUUCCUGUUUACCACUGUUCGCUCACCAGCCUGAGAAUCCUCAGACCCCCUGCAAUGGUCCUUCCUUUACGUCAAGUGAAAUAAA